AGAGUUUGAUUCUGGCUCAGAACGAACGCUGGCAGCGUGGAUUAGGCAUGCAAGUCGAACGUGAAGCCGAUGAACAAUCUUUCGGGAGAGUGAUUCGGUGGAAAGUGGCGGAAGGGUGAGUAACGCGUGGGUAACCUACCCCCAAGUUGGGGAUAACCCCGGGAAACCGGGGCUAAUACCGAAUGUGGUCGGAUGUCGCAUGGCAUCUUGACCAAAGGUGCGGAUCCUUCGGGACGUGCCGCUAGGGGAGGGGCCCGCGUGCCAUCAGCUUGUUGGUGAGGUAAUGGCUCACCAAGGCUUACGGCUAGGUGGUCUGAGAGGACGAUCACCCACACUGGGACUGAGACACUGCCCAGACUCCUACGGGAGGCUGCAGUCGAGAAUCAUUCACAAUGCGCGAAAGCGUGAUGAUGCGACGCUGCGUGGAGGAUGACGGCCCUAGGGUUGUAAACUCCUGUCAUGAGGGACAAGCCGCACGGGUGAUAAUACCACCUGUGCCCGAUGGUACCUCAAGAGGAAGCCACGGCUAACUCUGUGCCAGCAGCCGCGGUGAUACAGAGGUGGCAAGCGUUGUUCGGAUUUACUGGGCGUAAAGCGUGCGUAGGUGGUCUCGUGUGUCGGAUGUGAAAGCCCAUGGCUCAACCGUGGAAUUGCAUUCGAAACUGCGGGACUAGAGUGCAGGAGGGGAGAGCGGAAUUCUGGGUGUAGCGGUGAAAUGCGUUGAUAUCCAGAAGAACACCGGUGGCGAAGGCGGCUCUCUGGAAUGUAACUGACACUGAGGCACGAAAGCGUGGGGAGCGAACAGGAUUAGAUACCCUGGUAGUCCACGCCGUAAACGGUGUGCACUUGGUGUGGGUGGUAUUGACCCCAUCCGUGCCGGAGCUAACGCGUUAAGUGCACCGCCUGGGGAGUACGGCCGCAAGGUUAAAACUCAAAGAAAUUGACGGGGGCCCGCACAAGCGGAGGAGCAUGUGGCUCAAUUCGAUGCAACGCGAAGAACCUUACCUGGGUUUGACAUGGUACUGCAUGCCUCCUGAAAGGGAGGAGGCCUUCGAGGGUGUACCACAGGUGCUGCAUGGCUGUCGUCAGUUCGUGCCGUGAGGUGUUGGGUUAAGUCCCGCAACGAACGCAACCCUUGUGUUUAGUUGCCACUCCGGGUGAUGAGCCCGGAAGCACUCUAGACAGACUGCCUGUACAAGCAGGAGGAAGGUGGGGAUGACGUCAAGUCAGUAUGGCCCUUAUGCCCAGGGCUGCACACGUGCUACAAUGGCCGGUACAGUGGGAAGCAAUACCGCGAGGUGGAGCAAAUCCUCAAAACCGGCCCCAGUUCGGAUUGGAGUCUGCAACUCGACUCCAUGAAGUUGGAUUCGCUAGUAAUGCCGUAUCAGCUACGACGGCGUGAAUACGUUCCCGGGCCUUGUACACACCGCCCGUCACAUCAUGAAAGCCGUCUGCACCCGAAGUCGCUGAGCCAACCAUUUAUGGAGGCAGGUGCCGAAGGUGUGGGUGGUGAUUGGGAUGAAGUCGGAACAAGGUA
rnacentral:rRNA from 1 species